GUGCUCACUUCAGCAGCACACAUACUAAAAUUGGAACAAUACAGAGAAGAUUAUCAUCGCUCCUGCACAAGGAUGACAUGCAAAUUCCUGAAGCAUUCCAUAUUUUU
ensembl:snRNA U6 U6 spliceosomal RNA